UAUAAAGGCAAAUUUGAAAUUAAACUUAAUGAAAGUGUUGGACAUGGAAAAAGUUGUUCCUGUUAGUGUUAAUUUUUCUCCAUUAUCAAUGACCCCUGGUGUAAACUUAACCUUUUGAACAACAAAAGGAGUUACUUUUGUUGAGACAAUGUUGUGGCGGAUGUGUUGUCUCUGUCAAAAUUGGUUAAGUUUCUAUGAUUUUUUUUUUUUUUUUUUUUUUUUUUUUGUACUCUGCUGUGUUCCACCUCCUUAGGUCUUCAUGUUUCCUCUUUAUUUAGUUCAAGGAUCCAGUUGCUGGAUGGAUAAAGGUGAAAGUGGGCUGCUUGGGACACCAGAGGUCCCUAGCUGGGCGGAGCCUAUAAUCAUCUAACCUGGAGCACCUGGCCAGUAUACACUGACAACAUGCACCACACAUUAACUACUGCCACCAUACACCCUUACACACACCUCAUGUUUCUCUUAAUAAAUUAGCUUUUGUUGCA